UACUCACCCUAGUAGGCCUCAAGGGUUUUG
rnacentral:piRNA from 1 species